rnacentral:rRNA from 1 species
UCGGCCCUACGGGGGGCAGCAGUGAGGAAUAUUGGUCAAUGGGCUUACGCCUGAACCAGCCAAGUCGCGUGAGGGAAGACUGCCCUAUGGGCUGUAAACCUCUUUUGCCGGGGAGCAAAAAGCGGUACGUGUACCGCAUCGAGAGUACCCGGAGAAAAAGCAUCGGCUAACUCCGUGCCAGCAGCCGCGGUAAUACGGAGGAUGCGAGCGUUAUCCGGAUUUAUUGGGUUUAAAGGGUGCGCAGGCGGCGAGUUAAGUCAGCGGUAAAAUUUCGGGGCUCAACCCCGACGAGCCGUUGAAACUGG